rnacentral:rRNA from 1 species
AUUGAACGCUGGCGGCAGGCUUAACACAUGCAAGUCGAGCGGGGGAAGGUAGCUUGCUACCGGACCUAGCGGCGGACGGGUGAGUAAUGCUUAGGAAUCUGCCUAUUAGUGGGGGACAACAUCUCGAAAGGGAUGCUAAUACCGCAUACGUCCUACGGGAGAAAGCAGGGGAUCUUCGGACCUUGCGCUAAUAGAUGAGCCUAAGUCGGAUUAGCUAGUUGGUGGGGUAAAGGCCUACCAAGGCGACGAUCUGUAGCGGGUCUGAGAGGAUGAUCCGCCACACUGGGACUGAGACACGGCCCAGACUCCUACGGGAGGUAGCAGUGGGGAAUAUUGGACAAUGGGGGGAACCCUGAUCCGGCCAUGCCGCGUGUGUGAAGAAGGCCUUAUGGUUGUAAAGCACUUUAAGCGAGGAGGAGGCUACUUUAGUUAAUACCUAGAGAUAGUGGACGUUACUCGCAGAAUAAGCACCGGCUAACUCUGUGCCAGCCGCCGCUGUAA